rnacentral:lncRNA from 1 species
GCAAUAGCUCUCUCUCCUCUCUCAGUGUCUCUCACACUGAUCUAGCAAUCUCCUAAACCAAUCUGACAUCAUCUCCUCCUACCCACGACAAUUCCAACGAGCAGCAACACUGUUGUCGUCAACCUUAUCCCGGUCAUGACCCAACGAUAACUACCAUUAGUUGGUUCUUUAGCAGAGAUAACCUCACAUUCUUUUCUUCUCUUUUAGACACUAGCCCACACAUGCCAACCAUCGGUAACAACCUCCCCAUCCAAAAAUUAGCAACAUAAUCUCGUAGCUCCAAAACUAUCACCGACCAACGCCUUCUCCUCCUAAACCACAAUGCAAGGCACUCUUCAUGGCAGAUCCACAAUAACCCAACAAUAACAAUCAGAAAAGAGAAGAAGAAAUUACAGUAGAGAAAGAGAGAGGCAGAUCUUAAAAAAAUAAAAAUAAAUAAAAACUACUAUCUUGUGUUGAUUUCUUUGUCUUGCAGGGAGUGGUGAUACUCACCGCCAGUAGGGAAAGGAAGAGGUGAAAGAGUCGCUUCAAAGCCACCAAUUUUUGCUCUUCAAUUAAUGACGACAUGUUGUUCCAUGCACCCACAGUGACGAUGGUGUGAGGAACCCCCAAGCUGCCAAUACUCCCUCAUGUCUAGUGCAUUCCUAUAACUUCUGACAUUUUUUUGUUCAGAAGGUGUUUUGCAAAUUUUGGAUGA